rnacentral:rRNA from 1 species
CUCCAGACUCCUACGGGAGGCAGCAGUGAGGAAUAUUGGUCAAUGGGCGAGAGCCUGAACCAGCCAAGUCGCGUGAGGGAAGACGGCCCUACGGGUUGUAAACCUCUUUUGUCAGGGAGCAAGAACAGAUACGUGUAUCUGAGCGAGAGUACCUGAAGAAAAAGCAUCGGCUAACUCCGUGCCAGCAGCCGCGGUAAUACGGAGGAUGCGAGCGUUAUCCGGAUUUAUUGGGUUUAAAGGGUGCGUAGGCGGAAUAUCAAGUCAGCGGUAAAAAUUCGGGGCUCAACCCCGUCGUGCCGUUGAAACUGAUGUUCUUGAGUGGGCGAGAAGUAUGCGGAAUGCGUGGUGUAGCGGUGAAAUGCAUAGAUAUCACGCAGAACUCCGAUUGCGAAGGCAGCAUACCGGCGCCCAACUGACGCUGAAGCACGAAAGCGUGGGUAUCGAACAGGAUUAGAUACCCGUGUACA